rfam:Streptomyces sp. Root431 contig_5, whole genome shotgun sequence.
AGGGAAUCCGGUGGGAAUCCGGAGCUGACGCGCAGCGGUGAGGGCGACGGGCGGAGCAUCGGCCACUGGGCGGCGGAACCGGCCCGGGAAGGCGCUCCGUCCGGCUGACCCCGAGUCCGAAGACCU